GGGGUCAGUAGGUCGGUCGUGCCACUGGUAUGAACUGGUUUUACUGAUUCCUCCCUCUUGAAGAACUGUAAUGCCAUUAAUUUGGUGUUGCAGGGAAUCAGGACUGUUACUUUGAAAAAAUUAGAGUGUUUAAAGCAGGCUUUAGCUUGAAUACAUUAGCAUGGAAUAAUGAAAUAGGACGUUUGAUCCUAUUUUGUUGGUUUCUAGGAUUGACGUAAUGAUUAAUAGGGAUAGUUGGGGGCAUUAGUAUUCAAUUGUCAGAGGUGAAAUUCUUGGAUUCAUUGAAGACUAACUACUGCGAAAGCAUUUGCCAAGGAUGUUUUCAUUAAUCAAGAACGAAAGUUAGGGGAUCGAAGACGAUCAGAUACCGUCGUAGUC
rnacentral:rRNA from 1 species